CCUGAGAAACCCAAAAGAUCGAAUGGGGAGAUUCAUCGCCAGCGUGGCUGGCUUCCGUGCGGCUCGCGAUGGCCGGGACCUCGGUCUCGCGUCACGCGGCCGCUGCGGUAUGUCCGGCUACGUCGGCGUGCACUUCUCCCCUAGUAGGACGUCGCGACCCGUUGGGUGUCGGACCGAUGGCCGUUCGGUCGCCUGUCUCGUCGCGUUCACGCGUGCACGUGGCAGACCGCAAUGGUCGAGCGUCCGGCUGCCCGGCGGUAUAGAACGCUAUUGAACGGUAAUGAGCCGCAUUAAGUGCGUUCAGGCUCGUCGGCAGGCUCGUCUCGCCCGGAUUUACGGACCUAGUGCCGUUGCCGGGUGCUUGGCGGGCCGUUAGUCGACGAUGUCCUCGGACUGGCUCUACAAUUCGAAAGGAUUACCGGUCGGCGACGCUACUGCUUUGGGUACUUUC
rnacentral:rRNA from 1 species